GAAAUGCGAUAAGUAAUGUGAAUUGCAGAAUUCAGUGAAUCAUCGAAUCUUUGAACGCACCUUGCGCUCCUUGGUAUUCCUUGGAGCAUGCCUGUUUGAGUAUCAUGAAAUCUUCAAAGUAAAUCUUUUGUUAACUCAAUUGGUUUCUACUUUGGUAUUGGAGGUCUUUGCAGCUUCACACCUGCUCCUCUUUGUUCAUUAGCUGGAUCUCAGUGUUAUGCUUGGUUCCACUCGGCGUGAUAAGUUAUCUAUCGCUGAGGACACUGUAAAAGGUGGCCACGGUAAAUGCAGAUGAACCGCUUCUAAUAGUCCAUUGACUUGGACAAUACUUUUAUGAUCUGAUCUCAAAUCAGGUAGGACUACCCGCUGAACUUAAGC
rnacentral:misc_RNA from 1 species